GAUGAACGCUGGCGGCGUGCCUAAUACAUGCAAGUCGAGCGAACGGACGAGAAGCUUGCUUCUCUGAUGUUAGCGGCGGACGGGUGAGUAACACGUGGAUAACCUACCUAUAAGACUGGGAUAACUUCGGGAAACCGGAGCUAAUACCGGAUAAUAUUUUGAACCGCAUGGUUCAAAAGUGAAAGACGGUCUUGCUGUCACUUAUAGAUGGAUCCGCGCUGCAUUAGCUAGUUGGUAAGGUAACGGCUUACCAAGGCAACGAUGCAUAGCCGACCUGAGAGGGUGAUCGGCCACACUGGAACUGAGACACGGUCCAGACUCCUACGGGAGGCAGCAGUAGGGAAUCUUCCGCAAUGGGCGAAAGCCUGACGGAGCGACGCCGCGUGAGUGAUGAAGGUCUUCGGAUCGUAAAACUCUGUUAUUAGGGAAGAACAUAUGUGUAGGUAACUGUGCACAUCUUGACGGUACCUAAUCAGAAAGCCACGGCUAACUACGUG
rnacentral:rRNA from 1 species